AGUGAACGCUGGCGGUAGGCCUAACACAUGCAAGUCGAACGGCAGCACAGUAAGAGCUUGCUCUUACGGGUGGCGAGUGGCGGACGGGUGAGGAAUACAUCGGAAUCUACUUUUUCGUGGGGGAUAACGUAGGGAAACUUACGCUAAUACCGCAUACGACCUACGGGUGAAAGCAGGGGAUCUUCGGACCUUGCGCGAUUGAAUGAGCCGAUGUCGGAUUAGCUAGUUGGCGGGGUAAAGGCCCACCAAGGCGCCGAUCCGUAGCUGGUCUGAGAGGAUGCUCAGCCCGACAGGAAGUAGGAGCCGGAUCAGCGUCAACAGAGAGGGCACAGUGGGGGAAAUUAGCGCACUGCAUACGAAAUGACAGAAUCCCUCCCCAGAGGUUGAGGAGGUCUUCGAGCUGGUAAGGCCUUUUGUGGGGAGGGAAAAGCGGCAGAUUAAAACCCCGAUGUUCUGACGGUGCCGGAAGAAGAAGCACCGGCUAACUACGUG
rnacentral:rRNA from 1 species